rnacentral:lncRNA from 1 species
AGAUUUUAUUAAAUUGGUAAUUAUUUAUGGAUUUCUAGAUUAUUUUUAGAAUUUAUUAUGUUAAUUUACUAUUGUUAGAUUUUAUUAUGUUGUUUAUUGUUUGCUAAUUUAUAGAUUCAAGAUUAUUGUUGUAUUAAUAGUGUAUUAUUAUAUUAUUAUUAUUUUAUUGAAUAAUGAAUAUAGGAUAAAACCAAACCGAACUGAACCAAAUUAAUUUAGUUUGGUUCAGUUCGAUUCUAUAAUUUGGUUUACAUUUGGUUCAUAAAUUCAUGAACCAUUUGGUUUCAGUUUGGUUCGGUUCUAGGACUUAACCAAACCUAACUGAAUAGUGCCCACCCUUAGUAUAUCUCUCUUCACAAAUUAAUCCGUGAAUCUCAUUCGAACCCACAAUAGAGGAUUGUAUCUUACGUUAGUUAUAAGCUAGCAGCUCCUUUUUUUUUCCUCUUUUUUUAUAUAAUCUACUAAUACGAUGAUACCUCCAAAACCUACACAUAUAUAACUGGCAUGUUGCUUGCGUAAUAAUUAGAAUUAGGGUUAAUUUUGGUUUAUCUACAUAUUUUGACACAUUUCACUCUACCCAACGUGUUUAAAACAAUGCACAUAAAUACGUUUUCAAUUUAUGUCGUUCAAUGUUAUUUUCAUGCAUAUAUAUCAUCCGUAGUAUAAUAGGUUUGCAUUCUUUUUAUUUAUGGUCAAAAAAUUGAAAAAAAAAAAAAGAAAAAAAAAACACUUUGAAACUAUUGUGAUAUCGGUGGCUCUGUACCGACAAAUCAGCUUAGGUUUGACAAAGUGAGCCCCGCUUGCAUCCAUCGGAAGAGAAGCAUGACUUAGUAAAAUAAGCCAGCCAAGGAAAAUGACAACCAUGCCAAGCUUAAUUAAGUAUGGAAGACAAAGCUAUAUUCAAGUAUGAUGUAAAGUGAAAGUCACUGCUUGAUGCUUGACGUUAAUCAAAUUGAUCACACAACUAUUCAUUAUUUUAAUCAAAUUGCAAUAGAUAAUUUUCAAGAUUUUCAAAUUUAACCUUCAUAAAAGAAAUUUUUUUUUAAAACUUAUCAGUUAUUUCGAUUCUAUAAACAUGAAUUGGUCACACCUAAAUAAAGAAAAAAGAAAUUUAACAAAAUAAGGUAAUAAUUACAAAAAUAUGAAACUAUAGAAAAAUAAGUUUUUUUUUUCUUUUUUUCCCUUUGCUAUCUUUUCAUUUCUCUUCUAAUCGUCUUAACUUAUACAUAAAAAUAUUGUAUAUUGAUUGUAUUAACAAUGAAACUAUCAUAUAUCGUUUCUAAACUACAAAACUUUGUACGAAAAUGGUAAUCAGUAAAAAUCUAUCAAGAAAUAAUAAUAUAAUAUAGUGGUAUUGUCAUAUAUUAUUAUUAUUUGAAAUAUUUUGAACUUGUAUUAUAUAUUUUCUUUAAAAAAAUUGAAAGAAGGAUGAGAAAUUUUGCUUGUUAAAUAUCAUUUUUUACUAUCUAUUAUUAUUUGAACCGUGCAAAACACUUUUAUGAUUAAUUAAAUUACAUAUAUGGUCUGCAUUAUGCAUUGAACGUGCUCCAAUUGAAACAAUUUUGUAGCUACAUCCCUGUACACUGCUUAUAAAGAUUUUUUUUAUGAAGCAGAUGAGACUGCUAUACUACUAGUUUUACAUAUGUAUCGGAGAAGCAUGGUAGCAAUUUUGAUAAAGAAAAAAAUUUAUAUAAAUUGGACCGCUGCUUGGAGAUCAUUUUCAAAAAUUUUAAAAACUUUGAUCCAAUGAUGAUGGGACACCUCUCAAAGUUUGGAAAAUGAUUAAAAAAAAAUUGCUAGUCCACCGCUGAAACGUUUCAAAGCUAAAGAACAGAAAAACUGAUCACAUGAUGAGACUUCAGUAUUUUGGGGGCAGAAAAAUGAAAACAAAAAACAUUGCUCCAACGACGAGACUUUUCAAAGUUUGAAAAAAAAGGGACAAAUCUUCAGUCAAAAAUGAUGUCAAAAUCAUUAAUUAUCCAGGGAAUGCAUGUUCACGAUACGAUGUAGCGGCGUCUGUUUGAUUAAAUUUGUGUGAUUCAUAAUACGAUCCGAAGUGGGAAACGAAAAGUCUAGUUGCUCAGUGUUGAAUAUUGACUUUGGACAUUAAUGGUAAACUUGGACUCGUCAACUUAAGCAUGGGCCCCAGUUGUUGACAAAACUCCGCCCCGCUUUCAAUGCAAGGCGACGACUAAGUCAAACUUAAGCACGGCCCUAAAAUGAAAUUUAUGCUACGCAAGCGUGGAAAUUCAUUGAUUUAUUUAAUUUAAACUCGUUUUCACAUCAUUCCACCUUUGGUUAAGUGGUUAGCGCUGCUGUACUCUAAUUCGAACCCCCCACAAAUAUAAUAUAGGAGUAAUUCUUUCUUUAAUUAUAAUAUAUAAUUGAUUAAAAAUAGUUCUCUUCUUUAAUAAGUGCGAGUGGAAUAGAUAUUUUUUAAGCGUAAUAGUUUGAUUUAUAAAUAUUAGAUUGAUGUAAGUUGAUCCCAGCAGUAAUAGUAUGAUUUGUAAAUAUUAAUUAGAUUGAUGUAAGUUGGUCUCAGUAGCAAUCUGAUUUGUUAAUGUCUGUUGUAAUCAUUUAUGUAAGUUGGUCUCAUUAAUAAUCUAAUUUAUAAAUAUCAAUUAUAAUCUCAUGUAACAUGAGUUAUAGUUUAAACAAUAGUCUCUAGUAAUUUAAAAAAAAAAAACUCGUUUUCACAUCUCAUCAGACCCUAACUUUAUUUACUGCGUAUAUUUUCUAAAAUUAUCAUUCACUUCUUAAUAAACCCACGUAAUUCCAAAUUUAUCCCUUCCUUGUUGCUUCUCUACCUUGCUCCUCCCUUCCGCAUAGUUGAUUCCAAACAAACAAUUAACUAUUAACUCAAACAGGAUGAUCUUGAUAAUUAAAAUUUUUAAUUAACACGAUGAUCUCUAUUAUCUCUGUUUCUGUGCUCUAUUAAUUUUUUCUAUUUAAAUAUCGAUUUUUUUAAAAAUAUGUUUCAAUAUUAGAUUAUAUUCUUAAUCUCAAAAUAUCUUAAUAUUUUAUCAUCACUUCAUGAUCUUUCCUUCUUCCUCUUUUUAUUUAUUUAUUUUCUUUUCAAGAUAAAUUUUGAAGAGUUUAAGAGAGAAGAACUGAAAAUUACUUCAUCACAGGAGGAUUUUUAAAAAUUGUUUGAUGGCAAGCAAAAUUGCAGGCAUAGUAAAAAUAACUAACCUCUUUUACUGGAGAUAGGUUAAAUUUUCAGUUUAGGUGAAACUUAAAGACAACCAAAAGAAUUCUAAAUUCUUUUUGUUUAUUUUAGUAAUUAUACAGUAAGAUUUUAUCAUACUGAUAACAAACAUACGGGGCUUAUGAGACAAACAAUGGGGUUCAUAUAGAUCCACUCGUCAUUUCUUACGUCCGUGAAAGGUUUGGAUUAGCCCAGCUGGGCCCAGCUCGGUCCGGACUUUAGCAGAAACCCCGAUUUUAAAAGAAAAUAAUCAAUUUUCUAAUAGAAUUCUAUGUAAUCGCUUGAUAGACCCAUUUUUUAUGUUAAAUUAUAUUCAUGUAAUUUUACAACAAUCCAUGCAAAUUAUGGGUUUCAAAUUCAAAAAAAUUUUAAACAUUUAUUCCUCAUAAAUUGUAAGGUUAAAACCUUCAAACAUUUACAAUUUUAUUAACAAAUUUAUACAUGGAAUUGCCCAAAUUUGUUUUUAUAACUUCUAAUAAUAUUUUAUAUAGACACAAAAAUUUCGUUGUACUUAAAAAUAUUAUUUGUUUCCAUGACUAAUUGACAUUGUUUCCAUAUAGAAAAUGUUAUUGCAGUUAACAAUAAUUUAUUUACGUCAGCUGCUAAGUUACAUUAACUGUAACUAAUAGCUGACCUAAAAUUAGUUUCUCACAACCUUUAAAUUGUUUGAGUGGUAAUAAUUCAGAGGCACAAAGAAAUUAUUGUUAGGUUGUUGUAUGUUAAUUUAUAGCUAACAUAACACAAUAAGACCCUUUGUUUAUAUCAAUAAUACAAACAUAUAGAGACAUAUUAUUAGGAAAAAUAAUUAAUGCAAUUUUAUUAUUAUUAUUAUUUAGUUUAACAACAACUUGAUCUCCGACUCACUCACGGAUGGGGUUCAUACCCUACUCAUAUGGAUGGGGAGAGGAUAAUGCUGUAGUUAAAACACUUAAAAAUAUUUAUAGCUUUAUUGUUAAUUUUUUUUUAAAAAGGAAAAUUAUUUAAAUUCAUUUCUGAAUAGCUAAUUUUAAUAUUAAGAAAAUUAUCUUUGCAACACUUUUAUUUUGUCAUUAUCUACAUUUAACCACACACAAAAAAAUGUUGACAUGUUUUAUGCAUCACCUGUGUUUUCAAAGUUGUAUUAAUCAACAACCUUAUCAUUAACACAAUUAGGAUCUGUUAGAUAAUCUAAGC